AGAGUUUGAUCCUGGCUCAGGACGAACGCUGGCGGCGCGCCUAACACAUGCAAGUCGAACGGAGCUUAGAGAGCUUGCUUUUUAAGCUUAGUGGCGAACGGGUGAGUAACGCGUGAGUAACCUGCCCUAGAGUGGGGGACAACAGUUGGAAACGACUGCUAAUACCGCAUAAGCCCACGGUGCCGCAUGACACUGAGGGAAAAGGAUUUAUUCGCUUUAGGAUGGACUCGCGUCCAAUUAGCUAGUUGGUGAGGUAACGGCCCACCAAGGCGACGAUUGGUAGCCGGACUGAGAGGUUGAACGGCCACAUUGGGACUGAGACACGGCCCAGACUCCUACGGGAGGCAGCAGUGGGGGAUAUUGCACAAUGGGGGAAACCCUGAUGCAGCGACGCCGCGUGGAGGAAGAAGGUUUUCGGAUUGUAAACUCCUGUCGUUAGGGACGAUAAUGACGGUACCUAACAAGAAAGCACCGGCUAACUACGUGCCAGCAGCCGCGGUAAAACGUAGGGUGCAAGCGUUGUCCGGAAUUACUGGGUGUAAAGGGAGCGCAGGCGGGAAGACAAGUUGGAAGUGAAAACCAUGGGCUCAACCCAUGAAUUGCUUUCAAAACUGUUUUUCUUGAGUAGUGCAGAGGUAGAUGGAAUUCCCGGUGUAGCGGUGGAAUGCGUAGAUAUCGGGAGGAACACCAGUGGCGAAGGCGGUCUACUGGGCACCAACUGACGCUGAGGCUCGAAAGCAUGGGUAGCAAACAGGAUUAGAUACCCUGGUAGUCCAUGCCGUAAACGAUGAUUACUAGGUGUUGGGGGAUUGACCCCCUCAGUGCCGCAGUUAACACAAUAAGUGAUCCACCUGGGGAGUACGACCGCAAGGUUGAAACUCAAAGGAAUUGACGGGGGCCCGCACAAGCAGUGGAGUAUGUGGUUUAAUUCGAAGCAACGCGAAGAACCUUACCAGGUCUUGACAUCGAGUGACGAUCCCAGAGAUGGGAUUUCCCUUCGGGGCACGAAGACAGGUGGUGCAUGGUUGUCGUCAGCUCGUGUCGUGAGAUGUUGGGUUAAGUCCCGCAACGAGCGCAACCCUUACUAUUAGUUGCUACGCAAGAGCACUCUAAUAGGACUGCCGUUGACAAAACGGAGGAAGGUGGGGAUGACGUCAAAUCAUCAUGCCCUUUAUGACCUGGGCUACACACGUACUACAAUGGCGUUAAACAAAGAGAAGCAAGACCGCGAGGUGGAGCAAAACUCAAAAACAACGUCUCAGUUCAGAUUGCAGGCUGCAACUCGCCUGCAUGAAGUCGGAAUUGCUAGUAAUCGCGGAUCAGCAUGCCGCGGUGAAUACGUUCCCGGGCCUUGCACACACCGCCCGUCA
rnacentral:rRNA from 1 species